rnacentral:lncRNA from 1 species
CCUGCUUCGGGGCCUCACUUUGGGUCCAGGAGCUGGAGGAAGGUUGAGACAGAGAUGCAACUCUGGGCCUGGCGGGGGGGACAGCGAGGCAGAUCCUGGGCCAGGUGGUUCCCCCCCCUGAGACAAAGGACCAGGACCAAGCGAAGUCAUUGUCCCUCAGCAGAUGAGAUGCCUGCGGAGCCUCAGCUCCCGGAUCCACAGGAGGAGUUUGGGCUUUACCCUAUCAGCGUGGAAAACAGUGGCCAGUGGAUGACUGGAUGUACUGGGCCUAUUGUGGGCCUGCCUCACCGCACUCUGGGAAUUUUCUACUUUCUACACCCUGGGUUUGAACCUGCUGAGCAGCAGGGUCAAGGACUAGCUGGACUAGUCUGUGACCUCAAACUCCCGCUCUGUCCAGGGCCCGGAUCGGCUGGGGGGGCGGUGUCGCCCCCGCCGGGAAGCUUCUCUCCCACACUGGGCCAUCUGCUCACAUCCCCAGCUCACCGGGAGCUGACAUCUCUCCAGCAGCUCUGCGUUGUGGCAGAGGAAUGUGGGGCCCAGAAACAGGCUGUUUCUCCAAAGUUCAUAAGGGGUUUUGGCAGGGUUGAGCGGUGGGAGAAUAAACCACCUCAAGGGCUAGCCACCAAGCGAGACGCUGGCUGAGGGCACGGUGCGCCAGAGGACUUGGUGAAGGCGGAAGGCUGGUGGAGUAGUUGUGGGUGGAGCCUUUGUUUUGUGGUGCCAGUUGCUGUAGGUGAGAGCGGGUAUAGGGGGGUGUGGGCUGGGGAUUGAAACUUUGAGGAUGUCAAGUGUUCUGCUGAGGUGCGGGGGGGGGGGGGGGGGGGGGCGGGUUGGUGAUCUGCCGAGCUGUCUCAGUUGAAAGGCCAAGGGCUUUGGAGUCUUGGUGUGAAAAGCAGGUAUUUUUCUGGGCCCCUCACCCCCUGUCCCUCGAACUUUGACUUCAACAGUUGGGUGGGACACCCAACUCCCAGCCUCCCCUUACUCUCCCUGUACUGACCCUGCCUCAUUUGCUCCCUUCAGAAUCAACCCUCUUUGCUUGUUUUGUAAAGUGAAUGUGAUGUUAUGAUAGAGUUUAAGUGGAAAAUAAAGCCUCCCAUAAAGACAUCAUCUUAGAUUUUCUUGGCCAAGGAUGGGUAUUAAAUACUAAUAUCUCUGUGUGUGUGUGUGUGUGUGUGUUCCCUGCUGCCUUUGAUAGAAGAAACAUACAGGGGAGAUGCAGGGUGUGUGUGUGUGUGGUGGAGGUAGCAAGGAGAAAGCUAAGCAUGUUGGAAAGAAAUAGGGCGAGGCCUCACAGAUGCCCGACAACCCUAGCCCACCAGAGGAUGUCUUGCGAACACCGCAGCCUCUACCACUGGGGUGAUGGGAUCUUUGGCUGGUUUGAGACCUCUGCCCCUCUCCCCCUCCCCCCAACCUCUUGUGGGGCUGAAGGCCUCCCCUCCUGGACACUGGUGUUUCUUACAAGAGGCAGUGAGGACUGGGGCACUGCAAGCUUUCCAUCCAAGGCCCAGGGCAGGACCCAACGUUGAUGUUGCGCCUUCCUCCCACCCCCCGAACUGUUCCGAGCACUGUCACGAGCUGUCGGGGAGGAGGGUGGGUGGACAGACGGGCAGACAGACAGAACUCCAGAUGGUGUGGCCUUCCAGCCCAGAAGAGAGAGCCUGCCUCUGCUCAGGCAGCAGGAAUGGGUGCUUUGCAAAGCCCCUUCUUCCCCACUGUCUCUGGGAGGACAUCAAGUCCCUUUGUGGGGCACGGGCUCUUCCCGUCCCUGGACAGUGGCUGCCUAAAGCCUUCUCACCCAUUUUACCCUUGUAGAUCGCUGAUAGAGGUGGCAGCUUCAUUGCCUUGUGUCUGUUCUUUGGUCCAGGGAGGGAAGCAGUGUAGGAAACAGUGUGGUCCCGUGGAAAGAGCACAGGUCUGGGAGUCAGAGGACCUGACUUCCUAACCGGGCUCUGCCCCUCGCCUGGUGUGAUUAGAGGCAAAUCACUUCACUUUUCUGGGCUCCAGCUUCUUCAUCUGUAAAAUGGGAAUUCAAUACCUGCUCUCCCUCCUAUUUUAACUGUGAGCCCCAUGUGGGGCAAGGACCUUGUCUGACCUGAUGGUCUUGUAACACCCCAGUGCUUAGAACAGUGCUUGGUACAUAGUAAAUGCUUAAAUACCAUUCUUGUUAUCAAUAAUGAUUGUGGUAUCUGUUAAGCACUUACUGUGUUGUUAUGAGAGAGGGGGCUAGGAAACUCACCGGCUCCACCAGGGCCACGCACUGUACUAAACACUGGGGUACGUACAAGAUAAUCAGGUUGAACACAGUCCCUGUUUCACACGGGGCUCAGUAUUAAUCCCCAUUUACAAAUGAGGUAACUUGAGGCACAGAGAAGUGAGUUGACUUGCCCCUGGUCACACACAGACAAGUGGCAGAACCAGCAGUAAAACCCAGGUCCUGUGACUCCUGGGUCCAUGCUCUCUCCACUGGGCUAGGCUCCCUGCCUGCUCCUGCCUGUUGCUCCCAACAUCUUUCUCUUCUUCAAGACCCCAGUGUCCUCCUUACCUCUCCCCCGCCCCUCAGCGAGGAUCCUGCCCCCAGUGUUGGUAAAGCUGAAGACUCUCCACUUGGCCGUUCCACUCUCUGAACACCCCAUAUCCUCCAAGGGACCUUGUCCAAAGAACUCUCACAAGCCACUGGGGACAGCUUAGGUUAUUUAUUUGCUUAUUCUGCAGGCUUCGCUUGGUGUCAGAGUUCCCUGUGGGUCGGGAGCGUCACUCAAGCCACCCCAAGCUAGGCGGCAGCCCGCAGUUAAAAGCUUGCUGUUUGUAUUAUACCCACCUUCCCCCGUCCCCAAAACUACAGCUUGGACCGUGGGCUGGGUAGCCAUCCCUUGGUAGCUCAGGUACCCCAGGUGAAUGGCUGAGAGUCAGGGACCAUCAUCCUUCAGGGUUCCCUGUCGGGACCCCCAGGUCUGCACACCUCCUCAGCUUCACCAGCAGAAAGUACAGAAGGCUGUCCCACAUC